rnacentral:tRNA from 1 species
UGGGUUGUAGCUGAGUAGAAGAGCACUUGCCUCACAUGCAUGAGGUCCUGGGUUGGAUCCUCAGCACCACAU